UGAGUAACGCGUGAGGAACCCGCCUUUCGGAGGGGGACAACAGUUGGAAACGACUGCUAAUACCGCAUGAUACAUCGAAGCCGCAUGGCUUUGAUGUCAAAGAUUUAUCGCCGAAAGAUGGCCUCGCGUCUGAUUAGCUUGUUGGUGAGGUAACGGCUCACCAAGGCGACGAUCAGUAGCCGGACUGAGAGGGUGACCGGCCACAUUGGGACUGAGACACGGCCCAAACUCCUACGGAAGGCAGCAG
rnacentral:rRNA from 1 species